AGAUAAACAGAAUUGGUGCAUUACUGUAUGGACGUGUCUACAGUCGCAGCCUCCUCAAGACAUUCAGGAGUGGAUCAGUGGUCCCCGAUAUGACACUUAUUUUCUCAGAUAAAAACUUUGUUCCUGCACCAAACAGUGUAUCUCAACAAUUCAAUGCUGAGCUUGCCAAGUCUACAGUCCUGACUGUUAUAAAAGACAGCGUUUCUGCACAGCCAACACAAACACCUACUGGAAGCAGUCCUGCACACCACACAGUGGGCUCACUGGCAGUCUUGUCACUAACGUUGCUCGCUGUGGCACAAAUGCUCAUAGACUUCUAGCCAGUAUUCAAGGAAGACAUUAAGUUGAUCAGCUGGGCUGUCAAGUGUGGAAAAAAGCACAAACAAGAAAAACACAUAUAACCUGUGCGUUAUGAAAUUUACCAACACAGUGUCGUUUGGUAAAGGAAUGUGUGCUGUAAAUCAAAGAUUGAAACGGUUCUAUAUUUUCUAUAUUUGAUAUUCUAAUCACUCUUUCAAUUCUAUAUUAUUUAAAGUAAUACUUAGCAAGAUAAUAUUAAUCCAUUAUAUUAUAUUAUUCCAUAAAGGUUCACUGUGAUAAAAAUACCAUAUUUGAUUUUUUUCUUUCCAUUUUUAUUGUAGUUAACUUUCACUGUAUUUGUUAUGUAAAUGAUUUUUUUUUUCAUCAUGGAAUUGUUAACAUUUUAAAAAUGCAAAACCAUAACCUACUAAAUAUUUAUUUUGGAUUAAAAUCAUUAUUUAAUUGUGAAAGAUUAAAAUCUACAUCCAUUUAACAACAACACAGUUGCCAUGUGAGAGUACUGGUAGGAAGAUCACAGAACAUUCAAUGAUGUCACUUUGCAACAUAAUGGUGGGUUUUGCAGAAUCAGCCAGAAUCAACUGAAUAGUAAUAGUGGACUGCCUUUAAAUGAUUUGCUGUCCAUGUCCAAGUACUGUCAUAAUAAAAUUUAGAAAGAUGUUUGUUUUCAAUUGAUCAACAAUUCGUGUUUAAUAGCCAACUGAUUCUUUUUGUAUUUUAUUUUAA